rnacentral:rRNA from 1 species
UACGGAGGGUGCAAGCGUUAUCCGGAUUCACUGGGUUUAAAGGGUGCGUAGGCGGGCAGUUAAGUCCGUGGUGAAAUCUCUGAGCUUAACUCAGAAACUGCCAUGGAUACUAUCUGUCUUGAAUAUUGUGGAGGUAAGCGGAAUAUGUCAUGUAGCGGUGAAAUGCUUAGAUAUGAACAUAGAACACCAAUUGCGAAGGCAGCUUGCUAACACAGUUAUUGACGCUGAGGCACGAAAGCGUGGGGAUCAAACAGG